CUUUUUGAUUGGCUGCUGCUACUGAAUUGGCAGCCGUGGUCUCCCUAGCAACAGGGGAGGGCCAAGAAAAAGCUCAGCCUCCUCCUCCUCGUCAUUUAUUACAGCCAAGGGCUUAGAAAAAUGGUUCAUCCAAUUUUGAACGCUCGUCUUAAGAAAGACUAUCGAUAACUCUGAUGGCCCACGAAUGCUUGACCAUGGAGGCAAACCGCCACACCUAUUUUGUAUUGUUUCUUUCCAGUCCUAAAUGAGCAAAUACAGAAUUAAUGGUGAAAUCCUCCGAGGUCUGCCACCAGUUCUCUGCAUGCAUGCAUACACGGCACGCACUUUGUGUGCAUGCGCACCGCAGGCGCUACCGCACAUCAUGGAAAAAGGAAGCUUAAGAAGGAAAGGAAGAAUUCAACAACAGGUUAGCAAGACCCAAAUCAGAUGCACGAGACAACACACCUGAAAUGGAGGAUGAGUGGAUAGAGGUGUGAAUGGAAAUCAUUAUCUUAUACACAGCAAGCGAAGGCGAGAUGACAGCCCUGAAAACAGGACGCUGAGUCCUAGACAGAGCCUGAUCAACAUGCCAUCAACUGAAGAGGUUCAAGAUGAGACAUGAUGAAAUCUCCUAGCUGGGUAAUAUUUUCCUGGUUCAAUCAAGCCUACUAUUUUCUCUUGAGUCCAUAGAUGUCUACUUGGAGAAAUGGACAGUCUUUAACAAGUCUUUGAUAUGUGAUGAAGAAUGUGGGGUAAGGCCAAGAGGCAGAUUUUGUUCUAGGAAAGCUGAAUUGUAGAUCACAGUGUCCAUCUUAGGCCAUGAUGUCACUGCACAUUCAUUUUGUGUGCAAACUACAGUACUUUAUCCAUACUGUUUUUGUGAUGAUCUCAUGAUCUGCAUGAAGACUCACGUCCCACUCCUUCUAUCCCGUAGAUCUUCAUAAUAUGGACCUCCUACUACCUGAUUAAUAGGUCUUGGUGGCCUCCCAGAAGGCUAAAAGACAUUCCAAAAUUUUUUGAAGAUGAAACAAUCUCAAUUAAACAAUGAAGUUGUAUAAUUAGAGCAA